rfam:Toxocara canis scaffold175, whole genome shotgun sequence.
AGUGCAGUAGCUCAGUGGUAGAGCCCCGGCCCUGCACGUGGGGAGACCUGGGUUCGAUUUUCGGCUGCAUCU